AUGGUCAAGGGGAAUAAUGAUGACGUCUUAUCAAUUAUCAAUUAAUUUGAUUGUACCAGCAACUCGUAUGGAUCGCCGGCGUUAAUUCAUUUAGUCAAUGUUUAUAUUGAAGUUAUCUAGUAAUUCCAACAGACACUCAACAUACGCCGCGAAUAUUGAUUGCUUGCAGAUAUUUUUUGAUGGACAUUCAAUAGGUAUACUGUGUUAUGGAGUAUUUACUUGAUGCAAAGGAUUAAUAUUGCUUUAUUCAAUAAUUAGUGUAAAAUCAAUUGCUUUUGUACUAAUUCGAAAGUCAUUAAAACAAGCUUCGGUUUAUAUAUGAUAAUUGAUCUAAGAUUGUAUAUCAGAUUUUUUCUAUUAUUAGGAAUUAAGAUUGCUUAUCAAAAUCAGUAAGAGAAUUUUAAAUCUGUUAUCUUUCACUUUUGCUAAAUCUCAUUUCAAGCUUGUUUUUGAAGACUGCCGAUCACUCAUGAGUAAAGCAUUUUUAGUCAUGUGGUCGGAACGAUAAUCAUAAUAAUUUACAACAAUUGAGAGGAGAAAUGUCACCUACAAAUCCCUCCAGAUUAUAGGAUUUAGUCACAUGGAACCAAUAUUUCAAAUUAUCAAUUAGGAACAAAGUAUUGUACGAUAAUCUUUGUUCUGUCCAAGAAAAAAGAUAUUUUUGAAAUUUAUUUUUUCCUGUGAAAGUUUUCACCGAAAAAUCAAAUGAUACAAUUAGAGUAGAAUAAAUUCGUAGUUGGCCUUAUAGUAUUAUCUAUUUGUAACCAUCUUACGAUGCAAUGAACUCCUAUUGUCAAGGUCUAACUAUAUAUUCGGACUUGAAUCACAACCAGUCAUCGAUUGAAAUUUACAUAAAUACGUCUCAAGCUCAAGUUCAAGACAAUACAGUGUAAAAUGACACAGACUAAGACGGAAUUAACGUAGCAUGGAAAACUAAACUCUUCAUUAGCAAUAGCAACUUUGCAGAGUUAUACUUCCCACAUUUUCGUCAUGAGUAGUAACGAACUUAUGAAACGCUAAAAAUAGAAAAAGCGCUUGUGAUUUAGAGACGAACAAAACUAAAAUUGUCAGUUGAAAUUUUCCGAUGAUUUCUAAAAAACGUGAAAAUGUUCUUAAUAGCAGUUAUUUGCAAAAUUAUGUAAAUUAGUUUUGAAUAAAAGCUG